AACGUAGGAGACAAACGUUAUCCGGAGUUACUGGGCGUAAAGGGCGUGCAGGCGGUCUGUUAAGUGCAGGGUGAAAGCUCCCGGCUCAACUGGGAGAGGUCCUUGCAUACUGGCGGACUUGAGGGGGGUAGAGGAAAGUGGAAUUCCCGGUGUAGUGGUGAUAUGCGUAGAUAUCGGGAGGAACACCUGUGGCGAAGGCGGCUUUCUGGGCCCUACCUGACGCUGAGACGCGAAAGCGUGGGGAGCGAACCGG
rnacentral:rRNA from 1 species